rnacentral:rRNA from 1 species
GACGAACGCUGGCGGCGUGCCUAACACAUGCAAGUCAAGGAGAAUUCCCGACUUGUCGGGAUAGUAAACUGGCGAACGGGUGAGUAACACGUAGGUAAUCUACCCUCGGGAUCGGGAUAACCUCGCGAAAGUGGGGAUAAUACCGAAUAAAGUCUCGGUAUAAUUUGUCGAGAUGAAAGAUGGGGAUCUUCGGACCUAUUACCUGAGGAUGAGCCUGCGCCUGAUUAGCUAGUUGGUAGGGUAAAUGCCUACCAAGGCAACGAUCAAUAGCUGGUCUGGAGGAUGAUCAGCCACAUUGGGACUGAGAUACGGCCCAGACUCCUACGGGAGGCAGCAGUGAGGAAUUUUGCGCAAUGGGCGAAAGCCUGACGCAGCAACGCCGCGUGACUGAUUAAGCUCUGAGGAGUGUAAAAGUCUGUCGUAGAGGAAGAAACUAUCCGAUAAGAAAUUGUCGGAUAACGUGACGGUACUCGUAUAGAGAAAGCCUACCGGCUAACCG